rnacentral:rRNA from 1 species
AUUGAACGCUGGCGGCAGGCCUAACACAUGCAAGUCGAGCGGAUGAAGGGAGCUUGCUCCUGGAUUCAGCGGCGGACGGGUGAGUAAUGCCUAGGAAUCUGCCUGGUAGUGGGGGAUAACGUCCGGAAACGGGCGCUAAUACCGCAUACGUCCUGAGGGAGAAAGUGGGGGAUCUUCGGACCUCACGCUAUCAGAUGAGCCUAGGUCGGAUUAGCUAGUUGGUGGGGUAAAGGCCUACCAAGGCGACGAUCCGUAACUGGUCUGAGAGGAUGAUCAGUCACACUGGAACUGAGACACGGUCCAGACUCCUACGGGAGGCAGCAGUGGGGAAUAUUGGACAAAGGGCGAAAGCCUGAUCCAGCCAUGCCGCGCGUGUGAAGAAGGUCUUCGGAUUGUAAAGCACUUUAAGUUGGGAGGAAGGGCAGUAAGUUAAUACCUUGCUGUUUUGACGUUACCAACAGAAUAAGCACCGGCUAACUUCGUG